rnacentral:rRNA from 1 species
ACGAACUCUGGUAUUGAUUGGUGCUUGCAUCAUGAUUUACAUUUGAGUGAGUGGCGAACUGGUGAGUAACACGUGGGAAACCUGCCCAGAAGCGGGGGAUAACACCUGGAAACAGAUGCUAAUACCGCAUAACAACUUGGACCGCAUGGUCCGAGUUUGAAAGAUGGCUUCGGCUAUCACUUUUGGAUGGUCCCGCGGCGUAUUAGCUAGAUGGUGGGGUAACGGCUCACCAUGGCAAUGAUACGUAGCCGACCUGAGAGGGUAAUCGGCCACAUUGGGACUGAGACACGGCCCAAACUCCUACGGGAGGCAGCAGUAGGGAAUCUUCCACAAUGGACGAAAGUCUGAUGGAGCAACGCCGCGUGAGUGAAGAAGGGUUUCGGCUCGUAAAACUCUGUUGUUAAAGAAGAACAUAUCUGAGAGUAACUGUUCAGGUAUUGACGGUAUUUAACCAGAAAGCCACGGCUAACUACGUGCCAGCAGCCGCGGUAAUACGUAGGUGGCAAGCGUUGUCCGGAUUUAUUGGGCGUAAAGCGAGCGCAGGCGGUUUUUUAAGUCUGAUGUGAAAGCCUUCGGCUCAACCGAAGAAGUGCAUCGGAAACUGGGAAAACUUGAGUGCAGAAGAGGACAGUGGAACUCCAUGUGUAGCGGUGAAAUGCGUAGAUAUAUGGAAGAACACCAGUGGCGAAGGCGGCUGUCUGGUCUGUAACUGACGCUGAGGCUCGAAAGUAUGGGUAGCAAACAGGAUUAGAUACCCUGGUAGUCCAUACCGUAAACGAUGAAUGCUAAGUGUUGGAGGGUUUCCGCCCCUUCAGUGCUGCAGCUAACGCAUUAAGCAUUCCGCCUGGGGAGUACGGCCGCAAGGCUGAAACUCAAAGGAAUUGACGGGGGCCCGCACAAGCGGUGGAGCAUGUGGUUUAAUUCGAAGCUACGCGAAGAACCUUACCAGGUCUUGACAUACUAUGCAAAUCUAAGAGAUUAGACGUUCCCUUCGGGGACAUGGAUACAGGUGGUGCAUGGUUGUCGUCAGCUCGUGUCGUGAGAUGUUGGGUUAAGUCCCGCAACGAGCGCAACCCUUAUUAUCAGUUGCCAGCAUUAAGUUGGGCACUCUGGUGAGACUGCCGGUGACAAACCGGAGGAAGGUGGGGAUGACGUCAAAUCAUCAUGCCCCUUAUGACCUGGGCUACACACGUGCUACAAUGGAUGGUACAACGAGUUGCGAACUCGCGAGAGUAAGCUAAUCUCUUAAAGCCAUUCUCAGUUCGGAUUGUAGGCUGCAACUCGCCUACAUGAAGUCGGAAUCGCUAGUAAUCGCGGAUCAGCAUGCCGCGGUGAAUACGUUCCCGGGCCUUGUACACACCGCCCGUCACACCAUGAGAGUUUGUAACACCCAAAGUCGGUGGGGUAACCUUUU